GGCCUUGUAUUGUAGCGGUUAGCACUCUGGACUCUGAAUCCAGCGACCCGAGUUCGAGUCUCGGCGAGGCCU
rnacentral:tRNA from 1 species